UUGAAAGGAAAUUCACAUGAUGAGAGGCGAGCGUAUCAACAGAUUGCAGAGAAAUCUGGAGAACGAAAACAGGAUGGCAAACCGUUGCGGCCUCUCACGAGAGGAGGACAGACGUGGUCGAGGAACUUACGGGAAACAGAAGAAUAAUGUGGUGGUGCUGAGUAGAACUGUCCAGGCGCAAGUAGCUGGUAGAAACUUCGCCCUCACAUCGCAUAUCGGCAUUCUGCACGCUCCACUUUGUGGUCGACGAUUAACGAAUUAUUAAUGGAUUUAUAUAACAACAGACAGUAUCAUUAUCUUCAAGAAUAAUCUCGUGAUACCUCGUACGAACGCGAUCCCAUUUGUCCGUCCAUUCAAAGUAUCUACCAACAGAUCAUUAUCUUCAAGAAUAGUCUCACGUUUGAAUGUCAACGAAGGGCGAAACUUCGAGAGCCGACAUGGUCCAACGUGGGACAGCAUCCGCAUGCUUCUCUAACGAGUUGUCUUCUGACUCUUGCCAAGGGGACGCUGAUUUUCAGCACUUGGCACCGAGACGUAAUUGCCUUUGCACGGCCUGCUCGCCGUUGUCACUUCUUGCCGAUGAAAAGGUGGGGACACAGGAGUCUGAGGGAGAGAGAGGGGGGGUGGAUCGCGACGGUGGAACAUCCACCAAACAACGAUGACCACAGCGAUGAUGAGGAGGAUGCGUUGGCACCGAAAAUAUUUCUAACGAGACAAAUUCACUUACAACGUAUCCGUUGGCCGUGCUUCACACGCGCCACGGUACCGUUGCGGAACGAGGAUCGCCUGAAUGAAAAUGGAACGGCCACAGACACACUUCAGGAUCUUGACACCCAGAACGAAAAUCUUCGCAUGAACUCGCUCGCGAAUGAUUGAUUGCCCCGGCAUUAUUUAUAGACCGGGCGCGAUGGUCGAGAGGGAUUUACGGUGAAGAUGAUAAUAACAACGUGUAGUAAACAUGUAGAAUUAACCAUCGAAUCGUUAGAUUGUCUGGCGGCCGUGUCACGGAUGCAGGCUUCAUUCAACAGAUCCGAAACAAUAACCUCGUCGUUCUGGACAAUUUUCCUCGGCGCUUUACUUUGUCUUCGUAGAAGCUAUCGGCGUGUAUUAUUAACCUUUUGCACUCGGAAGCUUCUUGCUAGAAAUAUUUCACAUUGCUUGAGGCGAAGACGAUAUUCUUUGAAACUAAUUCAGGGAAGUCACUAGUGCAUUGAACAGAGCUACUUUAUUCCAAUCUUUCACGUAUAGAGACACUGUACAAAGUUCAUCAGAUAUCAAAUUUUAUAGUCUUACUGUGUCAAAUUAAAUGGUGAGUCACCUAUCGAGUGCAAAGGGUUAAUGUACAUUGACAGCUUCUACAAAGAUACUUGUAACGACAAACAUUGUCCAGAAAUAUGAGGCUAUUGUUUCGUGAUUAAAUUAACACUAGAACUAGCAGCUGUCAAUUGGAAUCUUAACCCUUUGCACUUGGAAGUUGUUCACUAGAGAUCUUCAACGUUCUCUGAUGAGACAUAGACAAUAUUUCUGAAAAUUACUGAGGAAUAACGCAUGAACUGAGAAGAUAUUUUAUUCAAUAUUUAAUUGGUGCAUUAUGCAAAACUUAACGUUAAACAUCCAACUUAACUUUAUAUCAAAUGAAACUGUGACUACACCUCUCGAGUACAAAGGGUCAAGAUUCCAAUUGACUCUAGCUAAUUCUAGUGUUAAUUUAAUCAGACGUGUUAUGAGGUUAUUGAUAUACAAAUACAAAGUCAACAGUCAACAGCUUCGCCUCUCGUCCGCUGUUCAAAGAAUUCUAUGGCAAUAUUUUGGUUUCUAUCAGAUCAAAGCGGACAUGGGAUUAGGAGACAUUUAUUCAACCAGAAUAUAUUAAUUCACGAAAGCUGAUGUAAUCAUUGAAACUGUACUGUCGAGGGUUAACAUUGCAAACGAUUUUCGUUGCCUGUUGUAUUUAAAAAUAUCGGUACCUAUAAUUCACGCGGGAUAGAUAAAGGCACUCGAAAGACAAAAGCUUUCCGAAAAAAGUGAUAAUAAUAUCUCACGGCAGUCGGCGAAAUAAAUAGCUCUUAUCCAUCUGACGCGCUGUCGCGGCUAAUUGAUGUGUAGGUGACGCGGCACUGGCAUUCUUGGAAUGUUCAUCAAAUGAGAGACAAUUGAGCCACUCAUUAGCCAAAUCGGUGAAUUAAAUUCGAAACGAGAACUAGGGAAGAAUGAUGCAACGGUACUCCUGAAUUUUCCGUGUUUCUCUAUAAACUGAGAAUCAAUGACAUUAUAGAAUGUAUUUUACUCUAUUGUUACAGAUGCUUUAUAUACAUAUAAGGAAUUAACAAGUUGUUUGAUACAUCAGACACCAAGUGUGGAUCUUCUAGAUUACUUCUAGAUCACUUCAAAACGAUUGCAAUCAGAAAAUCGACGUCGAAUCAAAUUCACUAAGUGACUAGACAACGUAACGUAAUAUCAAAUCACUAAUAAUCAUU